rnacentral:rRNA from 1 species
UACGUAGGGUGCAAGCGUUAAUCGGAAUUACUGGGCGUAAAGUGUGCGCAGGCGGCCGCGCAAGUCGAGUGUGAAAGCCCCGGGCUUAACUUGGGAAUUGCGCUCGAAACUACGUGGCUGGAGUGUGGCAGAGGAAGGUGGAAUUCCGACGUGUAGCGGUGAAUGCGUUAGAGAAUGUGGAGGAACACCAAUGGCGAAGGCAGCCUUCUGGGCCAACACUGACGCUCAUGCACGAAAGCGUGGGGAGCAAACAGG